GCCCAUAUAGCUCAGGGGUAGAGCACUUCCUUGGUAAGGAAGAGGUCGGCGGUUCAAUCCCGCUUGUGGGCUCCA
rnacentral:tRNA from 3 species